GGUUAAGUAACGCUAGCCCGCCCUUGCCAGGGGUGUGCGCUGGUUAGUUGCUUGCCAUCUUUCUAGAAAGCCAGCGUUUGUCAUUCACUUGGCGGACGUGACGCGAUCUAGAUCUUUUACUUUGAAAAAAUUAGAGUGUUUAAAGCAGGCUUACGCUAUGAAUACAUUAGCAUGGAAUAAUAAUAUAGGACUUUGGUUCUAUUUUGUUGGUUUCUAGGACUGAAGUA
rnacentral:rRNA from 1 species